AAAUCCGGUUGAUCCUGCCGGAGGCGACCGCUAUUGGAAUUCGAUUAAGCCAUGCGAGUCGAGAGUCCUCGGGACUCGGCAUACUGCUCAGUAACACGUGGAUAACCUGCCCUGUUCUAGGGGAUAACCUCGAGAAAUUGAGAAUAAUACCCUAUAGUCCACUACGCCUGGAACGGUGAGUGGAUAAAAGCUCCGGCGGAACAGGAUGGGUCUGCGGCAUAUCAGGUAGUAGUGGGUGUAAUGGACCCACUAGCCUUCGACGUGUACGGGUGUUGGGAGACAUAGCCCGGAGAUGGAUUCUGAGACACGAAUCCAGACCCUACGGGGUGCAGCAGGCGCGAAAACUUCACACUGCGGG
rnacentral:rRNA from 1 species